rnacentral:rRNA from 1 species
GCUUAAGGCCAUAUCAGCCUGGGUACGCCCGAUCUCGUCUGAUCUCGGAAGCUAAGCAGGGUCGGGCCUGGUUAGUACUUGGAUGGGAGACAGCCUGGGAAUACCAGGUGCUGUAAGCA